rnacentral:rRNA from 1 species
CGCGUAGGCGGGCUAUUAAGUUGGGGGUGAAAUUCCGAGGCUUAACCUCGGAACUGCCUUCAAAACUGGUAGCCUUGAGGGUAUGGAGAGGGAAGUGGAAUUCCAGGUGUAGCGGUGAAAUGCGUAGAUAUCUGGAGGAACACCCGUGGCGAAGGCGGCUUCCUGGCCAUAUCCUGACGCUGAGGUGCGAAAGCUAGGGGAGCGAACG